UUCCUUAAGUGAAGCACUUCCAUCUCUUUGUCGGUGGUGUUAACUCCGGCAGUCUAGAAGAGACAACGGAAGCAAAAUGGACAAGCACAGGACAUGAGACCUCUGAGAGACACACAGGAAGGGAGGGAGGAAGAGAAGGGGGGAAAAACCGGAGGAAGAAAUGCUCCCCAGCGUCUCCUUUGCAACAAGGAACAAACAAAAACCACCAGGCAGCGAGACCUGUUAGAGGAAGACAGUGAAACCCUGAGGGAGGGACUCCGCAGACCUGAGACGACGCUGGCUGGUUACAACCCUUCACCAGACGCUGGCAGCCCCUGGCCCAUCCAAGCAUGCGGGCGGGCAGUGGGCAGCAUGGAGAAAUGGGGCCCGGCGGCGGGGGGGUGCUGUUUGGUUUCUGGUAAAGAAAGUCAGAGGGCACACACAGGAGGGAUGGAAGGGUGCUGCAAUCACACGUACACACACACGUACAUGCACACACGCACGCGCACACACACACACACACACACACACACAUGCGUGCACGUGGCCUGCCAGUUUGCA
rnacentral:lncRNA from 1 species